AUGGCGUCACCGCCACCGAAGCUUCCGAUCCCCGGCCGACGCAACAUACUCAUCACCAGCGCGUUGCCCUAUGUCAACAACGUUCCGCACCUGGGGAACAUCAUCGGAUGCGUGCUUAGUGCCGACGUGUUCGCGCGGUACUGUCGGCUGCGAGGGUACAACGCGAUCUACAUAUGCGGCACCGACGAGUACGGGACGGCCACCGAGACCAAGGCCUUGGAGGAGAAGUGCUCGCCCAAGGAGAUCUGUGACAAGUACCAUGUUAUCCAUGACGAGGUUUACAAGUGGUUUGACAUAAAGUUUGACAAGUUUGGGCGGACAUCCGCUCCUGAACAGACAGAAGUCUGCCAGGCAAUUUUCCAUAAACUGAUGGAAAACAAAUGGCUCACGGAGAAUACCAUGCAGCAGCUUUAUUGUGACACGUGUGAACGAUUCUUAGCCGAUAGGCUUGUGGAGGGGAAAUGUCCGACCGAGGGCUGUAACUAUGAAGCGGCAAGAGGUGAUCAAUGUGAAAACUGCAGCAAAUUGUUGAACCCAACCGAGUUAAUUGAUCCAAAGUGCAAGGUCUGUAAGAAUGCUCCACGUAUUCGUGACACAGAUCACUUAUUCUUGGAGCUUCCUCUAUUGAGUGAUAAGUUGGUAAACUAUAUUAACAACACUUCAGUAGCUGGUAUGUGGAGUCAAAAUGCUAUUCAAGCAACAAACGCAUGGUUGAAGGAAGGGUUAAAGCAACGUUGUAUCACUAGAGAUCUUAAAUGGGGAGUUCCUGUUCCACAUGAGAAGUAUAAAGACAAGGUGUUCUAUGUCUGGUUUGAUGCACCAAUUGGGUACAUAUCUAUCACAGCAUCAUAUACGCCUGAUUGGGAGAAGUGGUGGAAGGAUCCUGAUAAUGUAGAGUUGUUCCAGUUCAUGGGUAAAGAUAAUGUGCCAUUUCACACGGUCAUGUUCCCUUCAACACUACUGGGAACUGGUGAAAACUGGACAAUGAUGAAGACCAUAAGCGUUACUGAAUAUUUAAACUAUGAAGCAGGAAAAUUUUCCAAGAGUCAUGGUAUUGGUGUCUUUGGCAAUGAUGCGAAGGUUACUAAUAUUCCAUCUGAAGUAUGGCGAUACUACUUGCUUAUGAACCGCCCUGAGGUAUCAGAUACACUGUUCACUUGGGCUGAUUUACAAGCUAAAUUGAACAGCGAGUUGCUGAACAACCUGGGAAACUUCAUCAACCGUGUGUUAAGCUUUGUUGCAAAACCAGCUGGAGCUGGAUACGACUCCAUCAUACCUGACGCUCCUAAUGCCGAGUCACAUACAUUGACCAACGCACUUGCAGAAAAAACUAAUAAAUGGGCUGAACAAUAUCUUGAAGCAAUGGAGAAGGUUAAAUUGAAACAAGGACUUAAGAGUGCAAUGGCGAUUUCUAGUGAUGGAAAUGCAUAUUUGCAAGAGAGCCAAUUUUGGAGGCUUUAUAAGGAAGAUCCAGCAGCCUGUGCCAUCGUAAUGAAAACUUCAGUUGGUGUUGUCUAUCUCCUUGCCUGUCUGCUGGAGCCUUUUAUGCCUUCCUUUUCUAGAGAAGUGCUGCGACAAUUAAAUAUGUCCCCAGAUGAAGAUCUGUCAUUCUGUGAUGAUAAAGGAGAAACUGCCAAGGCUAAAAGACCCUGGGAUUUUGUAUCAGCAGGACACAAAAUAGGAAAGCCAGUCCCUCUAUUUAAGGAACUGAAAGAUGAAGAAGUUGAGGCGUUUAGGAUCAAAUUCGCUGGCAGCCAAGCUGAAAGGAUCUCAAAGGCACAAGCUGAUGCCGAGGCAAAGAAAGUUGCUGAUAAGCUCAAGGGCACAAAAUUAUCUGAGGGAAGUUCAAAGAAGAAACAAUCUGGUGGUUCGAAAUCAAAGACAGCAGAGGAUGUCUCAGUUGCCAAGCUGGAUAUUCGGAUAGGGCUUAUCAGAAAAGCAGAGAAGCAUCCAGAUGCCGAUUCACUUUAUGUAGAAGAGAUCGAUGUUGGAGAAGAGGCACCAAGAACAGUGGUUAGCGGCCUUGUCAAAUUCAUCCCUCUGGAGGAAAUGCAGAACCGGAAAGUGUGUGUGCUCUGCAACCUUAAACCGGUGGCAAUGCGCGGUAUAAAGUCACAUGCUAUGGUUUUGGCUGCAUCGAACGAGGACCACUCAAAGGUUGAGUUGGUUGAGCCUCCAGAAUCCGCUGCUGUCGGGGAGAAGGUGACCUUUGCCGGGUUCUCUGGUGGGCCUGAGGCUUCUCUUAACGCCAAAAGCAAAACCUGGGAGAAGUUAUCCGCCGAUCUGCACAGCAACAGUGAGCUUGUGGCGUGCUACAAAGAUGUUGCAUUCACAACUUCGGCUGGGGUAUGCAAGGUCAAGACCAUAGCGAACGGGGAGAUCCGCUAA
rnacentral:rRNA from 1 species